AAGGAAUCCCGAGUUAUUAAGGAAAGAAUCAUAUAAGUAUAGAAAUAAUUCAAAAAUUGAUAUGGAAUUAUAGGAGAUCAUUUAUUUAAGGAAAACACCACAAACAUGGGAUUUUUGCAAAAAAGGAUCAAACAAACAACCAAUAGGGUAAAGAAGGUUCAAUCGAAAGAAAUUAGUGACAAAUCAUUAACCUUAUUAAAGGAAUUUCAGAAUCAAUCACUUGGUUGGUGAAAAUCUUUUGAAAGAGGAGCUUUCUCAUAUAUAAAGCAUACAGUUUAUUGAAAGUUUCAGAAUCACAAGAAAAUAGGAAUGAAGUUUCGAUUACAGGCUAAUAGUGAGUCUGCAAACCUAGGGUUCCCUAGGGCCACUUAUCAAAGAAAACCUCCAAAUCUUUAGGGUUUCAAAUAGAAUCAGAGGUGAGAAAUCGAAGUCAUUGAGAGACGCUCAGAAGCCCCUUUCCAAGGCUUGUGAGAGGCAAACAUACACAAACUAAUUCAGAAGAAAGAGAGGCUAGAGUUUUAAACAAAGUAGGUAAAAGCAUGCUGGCAGAAACAUGAACAGAACUCAGUAAGGUAAAACCAAAUCAAAGAGCGCAAACUUAAACGCAUAUAACAAAGAGUGAGGAACAACAAACCGAGUUAACAUGUGAGCAUGAGAGUGACAAAAGAGAAUAGAAAAUCUUUGAUAAUCAGAAAAGAAACAGAAUAGAGCAAACUCGAGCAUAAUAAGAAACAAACAUAUGAGCAUAAAACACACAUAGAGAGAAAACAAAAGAGUCAAAAACAUUUAAUUUUUUUCCAGAAACCCUAAAAAUCGAAUUUCAACAAUUUUGAAAAGGAAACUUGGGGAAAAAUCUUAAAACGUCAAGUAAAGACCAAACAUGUCACAGAUAUGAUAGAAAUAGGAAAGUAUAGAACCUUAGACAGAUUAAGAAAGCAGUAGAGAAGACCCUAGAAUGAGAAGGUCUUGAGGAAAGUCAGAUCUUGAGUCAAAGAGACUCAUAUUGCUUGAAUACGUCGCAAAAUGGCCGGAGAAGCCAUAGAUCUUACAGAUCUGAGACAGAUCUAAAGAAAACCUUUGAAGUAUGCCUUUGAAAUUUGAUUAUCUUAGGUUUAAUGGUGAGAGAGAGUGAGCACAGGCCAUCCAUGGCCAGGAAUGCCAUGGACUUCGGUGAAACCAUGCCGGAAAUAGGUGGGAAUCAACUAAGGUUUCAGGAAGGGCUAGAGAGGAUUUGGGAGAUGAAGAUAUUUCAAAGGCGGC
rnacentral:lncRNA from 1 species